UACGUAGGGUGCAAGCGUUAAUCGGAAUUACUGGGCGUAAAGCGUGCGCAGGCGGUUUUGUAAGUCUGUCGUGAAAUCCCCGGGCUUAACCUGGGAAUGGCGAUGGAGACUGCAAGGCUAGAGUUUGGCAGAGGGGGGUAGAAUUCCACGUGUAGCAGUGAAAUGCGUAGAGGUGUGGAGGAACACCGAUGGCGAAGGCAGCCCCCUGGGUCAAAACUGACGCUCAUGCACGAAAGCGUGGGGAGCAAACAGG
rnacentral:rRNA from 1 species